GUGCUGCUGGCGCCUCGGGUGGGUGGCACUGGUGGUGCAGUGAGCGAGCUGUUGCCGCGGUCGGUGGGUGUGGGCCAAGUGGUGGCGAAAGUGCGCGCAGUGGACGCCGACUCGGGCUACAACGCGUGGCUUUCGUAUGAGCUGCAGCCAGUGGCAAGCAGUGCUCGCUUCCCGUUUCGCGUGGGGCUGUACACGGGCGAGAUCAGCACGACUCGUGUCCUGGACGAAGCAGACUCUCCGCGCCACCGGCUGCUGGUGCUGGUGAAAGACCACGGUGAGCCGGCGCUGACGGCCACAGCCACGGUGCUGGUAUCGCUGGUGGAGAAUGGCCAGGCUCCAAAAGCGUCAUCGCGGUUGUCGGUGGGCACCGCGGGGCCAGAGGCGGCGCUGGUGAAUGUCAACGUCUACCUGAUCAUCGCCAUCUGUGGGGUAUCCAGCCUGCUGGUCCUCACGCUACUGCUGUACACCGCGCUGCGGUGCUUGGCGCCGCCCGCCGAGGGCGCGUGCACGGCGGGCAAGCCCACGCUGGUGUGCUCCAGCGCGGUGGGGAGCUGGUCAUACUCGCAGCAGAGGAGGCAGAGGGUGUGCUCUGAGGAGGGCCCACCCAAGAUGGAUCUCAUGGCCUUCAGCCCGAGCCUUUCACCUUGUCCUGUUAUGGGUAGGGCGGAGAAGCAGGCUUUAAAUGAAGAUCAUGAUGCCAAAGUAAGUGAAUUUUCAUAAUUAACAGUUAAUUUUUAUUUUAAAUUCAUAAUUUUUUCCGCAGAUUUGUUUUCUAUAUUUCUGUUUUUAAUUUUAAUUAAUUUAACAAAAUUUACGUAUUUUCAUUUUAUUCUGUUUCUUAUUAUAAUCUCUUUGCUUCUCUAAUAUUUAUAAUUUAAGUGGAAUUAGAAAUCAUUGUCCACAAUCUGCACCUCAGAAUUUUUGUCUUCAAACCAAAAUAUUCUGGGACAUGUCGUUUUCUGUUGCAUUUUAAUUCAGAUUCUUAGUAGCAUUUUUUUCUGAUUAAUUAUAUAGGAUUUUCAUUUGUUUGCCUUUGAGCUGUAGGAAAAUAUUUUUACAUAUACUCUUUUUUGAUCAUAUAUUGAUAUUUGAGCACCGCUGUAUCAAUUAUGCUUUUACACUUUCCAUUUCAAUGUUUUUCUGCUGAGACUUUUAUUAACACUUUGAUUUUAUCCAUUUUGUGUAAGAACUCUGAUCAUCAUACUUUUUAUCUGUGGUUCCCUUUUCAGACUUGUGGUUCCAGGAGACAAUAGUGUUUAUUUAUUGUCCCCCUUUUAAACCAUUGAGGAAUAAAGGACAAAAACAAUAAUUAUCAGCCU